rnacentral:rRNA from 1 species
UACGAAGGGGGCUAGCGUUGCUCGGAAUGCCUGGGCGUAAAGGGCGCGUAGGCGGUUUGUACAGUCAGGUGUGAAAUUCCCGGGCUCAACCUGGGGGCUGCACUUGAUACGUAUGGACUGGAGUGGGGAAGAGGGUCGUGGAAUUCCCAGUGUAGAGGUGAAAUUCGUAGAUAUUGGGAAGAACACCGGUGGCGAAAGCGGCUCUCUGGCCCGGUUCUGACGCUGAGGCGCGAAAGCGUGGGGAGCAAACAGG